rnacentral:lncRNA from 1 species
UGUUAACCCAGUUCAGUGCAACGUCACCUACUCUGGGGGAUAUCAAUCCAGGAAUGAAUCCACUAUAAUAGCUCAAGUUCAAAGCCCUCGACCAACACCCGGUACUUGACUUAUCACCUAGACACUACCCGUGCAAUCCUACCUAAGAACCUCUUAGAUAAUGAGACCCCGUCCCAAAUUCCCUCUAACAACACGUACCAUGUUGC